UGGAAGCAUUUGAGAAAACCUAGCUCCAAAGAAAGGGCAUGACAGAAUGAGACCACUUAAGAGAGGGCAAAAUUACACAGGUAGAACAGGGUUCUGGAACAAACUACAGAAGUAAUUAAAUCUGCUCCGGCUUCAUCAGACAGAAGAACGAAAUUUCUGCCCCCAGAGAGAAGACCGAUGUGUAAUCAUGCACGCAGAUGGCACGUGCACCUCUAGGUGCUGGGCGGAGACUUGGGCCUCACGGUGCUUCUCCUCCAGCUCCUGGACACAAAGGAACAGACGGUCAGCUUUUGUUCCUGCUCACCAGAAUUUUAUCAGCCAUCUGCUGGAUCUGUUGGGAUUUUGUCUGGAUGUCAUCCUUCAGUCUGUUUUCUCUACGCUCCAUGGUCUCUAGCCUCUUUACCUUGUUCUCCAGAGAAUGGCGGCGUUCCUGUAGAUCAUGAAUCAAUCAGAGAGUUUUAAUGGAGGAACCGCUAUGGGCACAGCGCCUGCACCGAGGGAGAGCACCCUCGAGAAGCAUACGCGCAAGGCAGGAAGAGAAGUCUUGGGCGCCCGAAGCAACGUACUGUUCAAGUUUUCUACAAUAAGAAGACACUCAUGUGUUUCCUGUAUAAUUAUAUCAAAUAUUUCAGCAACAACAACAACAACAAAGAAUUGGAGGGAGAGAAAAGGCCCAAAACAUGGGCCCUGGGGGGGCCAUCGACACACAGGUAACAUCUGAAGCCUUGAAAGGUAAUGUUAUUAAGUCUGUGGGAAGAGGCAAGGCAAAACAGGGAUGCGGAGGGAAGAGAAAGAGAAACUUGAGGGAGAGUGUUAUAGUUCACGGACUGAAACGUGAAUCCCCUGCAGGUUCCUGAGGCCAGAGGAAAAUGAACAGAAAAGCAGUGUUCUUAUCAGGACAUCUUUCUACUUGAAGCUGCUGUGACCAGUCUUUUCUUCCCCUUUGGGGAAAAAACGCUGCCAAGCCUCUCAGGUUCCAAAGGGAUUGGCAGAAGGGAAAGCGGUUCCGCAGUGUCUUCUUCUCGGCACGGCCCAAAGCUGGUCGGCUGCUCGCCGGCGGCCACGCCGGGACCCAGACUCAGUCCAGCACGGGCUGAGGACCCCUGCUCACCUCGGC